rnacentral:lncRNA from 1 species
CACCAUAAUUUUUGAUGCCAUCUUUUUCCAUGCUGAAAUAGUUUUUGGAUGAUAUUUUUUCAUGCUAAAAAGAUCUUUUCCUUCUCUAUCUCAUGUCAAAAUUUGGGUAGGAUCAGGUUUUAAAUGGUAUGUUCAAAUUUGAUUUGAAAUAGAAUACCAUAUAGAUAAUGUUUGACAUUAUCUUUAAGAUCUUGCCGCCAACUUAUUUUUUUCUCCUUAU